GACGAACGCUGGCGGCGUGCUUAACACAUGCAAGUCGAACGGAAAGGCCCUGCUUUUGUGGGGUGCUCGAGUGGCGAACGGGUGAGUAACACGUGAGUAACCUGCCCUUGACUUUGGGAUAACUUCAGGAAACUGGGGCUAAUACCGGAUAGGAGCUCCUGCUGCAUGGUGGGGGUUGGAAAGUUUCGGCGGUUGGGGAUGGACUCGCGGCUUAUCAGCUUGUUGGUGGGGUAGUGGCUUACCAAGGCUUUGACGGGUAGCCGGCCUGAGAGGGUGACCGGCAACAUGGGGACUGAGAGACGGCCCAGACUCCUAGGGGAGGCAGAAGGGGGGAAUAUUGAACAAGGGGCGGAAGCCUGAUGCAGCAACGCGGCGUGCGGGAUGACGGCCUUCGGGUUGUAAACCGCUUUCGCCUGUGACGAAGCGUGAGUGACGGUAAGGGGUAAAGAAGCACCGGCUAACUACGUG
rnacentral:rRNA from 1 species